rnacentral:rRNA from 1 species
GAUGAACGCUGGCGGCGUGCUUAACACAUGCAAGUCGAACGAUGAAGCCCAGCUUGCUGGGUGGAUUAGUGGCGAACGGGUGAGUAACACGUGAGUAACCUGCCCUUAACUCUGGGAUAAGCCUGGGAAACUGGGUCUAAUACCGGAUAGGAGCGCCUACCGCAUGGUGGGUGUUGGAAAGAUUUAUCGGUUUUGGAUGGACUCGCGGCCUAUCAGCUUGUUGGUGAGGUAAUGGCUCACCAAGGCGACGACGGGUAGCCGGCCUGAGAGGGUGACCGGCCACACUGGGACUGAGACACGGCCCAGACUCCUACGGGAGGCAGCAGUGGGGAAUAUUGCACAAUGGGCGAAAGCCUGAUGCAGCGACGCCGCGUGAGGGAUGACGGCCUUCUGGUUGUAAACCUCUUUCAGUAGGGAAGAAGCGAAAGUGACGGUACCUGCAGAAGAAGCACCGGCUAACUACGUG